rnacentral:rRNA from 1 species
GACGUAGGGCGCGAGCGUUGUCCGGAUUUAUUGGGCGUAAAGAGCUCGUAGGCGGCUUGUCGCGUCGAAUGUGAAAACUCGGGGCUCAACUCCGAGCUUGCAUUCGAUACGGGCAGGCUAGAGUUCGGUAGGGGAGACUGGAAUUCCUGGUGUAGCGGUGAAAUGCGCAGAUAUCAGGAGGAACACCGGUGGCGAAAGGCGGGUCUCUGGGCCGAUACUGACGCUGAGGAGCGAAAGCGUGGGGAGCGAACAGG